UACUUCGACGCAGUUUCCAAGCUACAACUGUGUUCUCCAGAUCUAAAAUCACCACGUCGAAGUGAGCAACUCGACCAAGAUAAAUCUCUGAUGGAAGCCUUGGAAAUUCACCAUCAUCAUUCGACCCAAGAAUUUGAGGCACUGCAAGCUGAUCACACGAAGCUUUUAGAGAAGUUAGAGCGGAGGGAAGAAAGGGAAAAGAUACUUAGAAAAAAAAUCGACCGUCUAGAGCAUGAGUUGACCAAGGAGCAGGAGAUUCGGGACCUAGAACGGGAGUGUGCCAAACUGGACGAGGGAGGCUUGACAGAGGAGGCUGAGAGGUUGUCUUUGGAGAAGAAACUCGAGAGUGCUAAACAGGAGCUUGAAAUUGUACACACUGAAAAUCUUAAGCUCAGUGAUGACGAGUUUGAGAAAGAUAUGGCUCGGUGUCAGGCAGAAUGUGAAACUGUAAUAGCAAUUACCUCCAUGCAAGCCGAGCUUGUGGACUUGAGGGGUGAAGUUGAAUCCUUAUGUCUAGAGCUUGCAGCUGCCAGGGAAAUGGUCUCAGAGCGCACAAAUGAGCUAGAUAAAACUAGGGUGAUGCUCACCGACGUUAAAGG
rnacentral:lncRNA from 1 species